AUUGACCGCUGGCGGCAGGCCUAACACAUGCAAGUCGAGCGGAGCGGCGGACGGGUGAGUAAUGCCUAGGACUCUGCCUGGUAGUGGGGGAUAAGGUCCGGAAACGGGCGCUAAUAUCGCAUAUUAUAAGAUGAGCCUAGGUCUGAUUAGCUAGUGGGUGGGGUAAAGGCCUACCAAUGCGACGAGCCGUAACUGGUCUGAGAGGAUGAUCAGUCACACUGGAACUGAGACACGGGCCAGACUCCUACGGGAGGCAGAAGUGGGGAAUAUUGGACAAUGGGCGAAAGCCUGAGCCAGCCAUGCCGCGGGUGUGAAGAAGGUCUUCGGAUUGUAAAGCACUUUAAGUUGGGAGGCGGUACCAACAGAAUAAGCACCUGCUAACUUCGUGCCAGCAGCCGCGGUAAUUC
rnacentral:rRNA from 1 species